rnacentral:lncRNA from 1 species
GAAUAAGUCUUUGGGUUUCCAGUUUAUGCAGGUAUCUCCUAUUUACAGGGCCAAGCUGUAUUUUCUAUUCCUGAUGCCCAUCCAUCAAAAUGGAAACAGGUUUCCCAGAAAAAGGUAAAACUCUGUUUGGCAUUUGUUUGCCUCCUAAGAGUCCUACCUACAUUCACUUUGUUUUUGGCAUCAGAGGAGCCUUUAGUUUCUUGCCUGUUCAGCAACGGUAAUUUGGGUUAUCUAACCCAGCAUUUUGCUAGAAGCAAGUUUAUGUCACAUAUAUCCUUAAUGACCAAAUUAUGGUUCCUAAAACUAUCUCCUGCCUUAGAACCAUCAAUUAAU